GUCAUGACAGCAAGACGGUUUUUGUUACCUUCUCUCUUUGCCUGCGUAAUUGUUACCGUACUGCUUUAUAGUUUCUGGCUGGACACAUUUUCGGCAUUUUCGUAUUAUAUUAAGCUUCAUCCAGAGAGACAGUUGCCUCUGAACGAAGGGUUUGACUGUCCUAAAGGGCCAAUUGUUACUGUCAUGGAAGGCGGGCGACUGGCCAACCAAAUAUUCGAAUACGGCUCUGCGUACUUCGUGGCCAAAUAUCUCAACAGGUCUGCAUACAUCCCGGCAUCCAUAAUGAAGACACUUGUGCCUCUUUUCGGUCACCUCACGUUCAAGACCACGCUUGAAGUAGUUAUGCUUAAGUGCAAUAUUACAUUAGACUUAACACCAGCGUCAAGGACAGACUUUAUUUUUCUAGGAAGUGCUGGAUUGGAUCUUGAUAAAUAUAAAUCAGUGCAUGUGGUACUGCCGAAAUACAUAUUUUUGCAACGCGUGAUGAACAAACAUAUCAACGAGUUUAGGCAAGAGUUUCGAUUUAGAUCAGAAAUAUUGGAAAAAGUGUCCAACACGAUUGAGAGCAUUGGCGGCAAAAACAAAACUCUAGUUGGAGUUCACGUGAGAAGGACAGAUUACAAGAGGUACCUUUCUGGUCAUAAUGAGACUCUUGUCAAUGAGACUUAUUUUAAGAACGCAAUGCAGUACUUCAGAGACAAAUAUCCCGAGCAUCGUCUGCUCUUUUUGAUAGUCAGCGACGAUAUGAAAUGGAGCGAAGAGAAUCUUUCAAAUGAAAAUGAUGUGCGAAUGGCAUCAGUUGACCCAGUUCACGACCUAGCAUUAUUAAGCGUUUGCAACCACACCAUCACAGACUAUGGUACCUAUGGUGCAUUUGGAUCUUUCAUGUCUUCCGGCCACAAGGUCAUGGUUAACGUUCAAAAACAAUUCUGUUUUCUGGAACAAAAUUAUAACUGGACAUUUUUUGACAAAGACACUCUUUUGCCAACUUAAUACUGCCAUAUUUUUUAUUUAAAGAUUAUUUUGAAAUCAAAAAGCACGUGAAUGUUAAUAUUUUUCUCAAAAUCUGCCAAAUAAUGUAUUAAUAAAAAUUCUUGGAACUUUGAAAAUGAGUGUGUGCAUAAAGGCUUGAGUACUUUUCAUUUAAU